GUAGGGUGCGAGCGUUAAUCGGAAUUACUGGGCGUAAAGCGUGCGCAGGCGGUGAGUUAAGUCUGCUGUGAAAGCCCCGGGCUCAACCUGGGAAUGGCAGUGGAAACUGGCUCGCUGGAGUGUGGCAGAGGGGGGUGGAAUUCCGCGUGUAGCAGUGAAAUGCGUAGAGAUGCGGAGGAACACCGAUGGCGAAGGCAGCCCCCUGGGAUGAGACUGACGCUCAUGUACGAAAGCGUGGGGAGCAAACAGGAUUAGAUACCCUGGUAGUCCACGCCCUAAACGAUGUCUACUAGUUGUCGGAGGGUAACUCCUUCGGUAACGCAGCUAACGCGUGAAGUAGACCGCCUGGGGAGUACGGUCGCAAGAUUA
rnacentral:rRNA from 1 species